GAGAUCUUACCAGACUUUUGACAGUCGGGACCCCACCGAAACCACACCCACCUGCUUCUUCUUGAUGUACUUCAGAGCUUCUAACAGAGCUAGGGCUUCCAGCUGAGCAACUGAAGCCGCCCGAACUGUUUUGGUGAAACCGUCCACAAGGCAGCCUGAGAAGUCGCGGACGAUGCAGGAUAUCGCGCCUUCCCUCGACCCUGCACAAAUCGACCAUCGACGUUGAUCUUCAUGGUCCCUGUCGCCGGAGCUACCCAGAUUUGAGAUCUACUACUUUGCAGGCAUCCGGCUGACUUCCCCGAAAUAUAUAGUUAUUCCGCCCCUUCCAAAUUUACCAGAGGAUGUUUGAAAUCGCUUUCAAGGAAGAUCCGGGUCUGUGAAAUCUGCCUUUCCUCUAGAGCUCUGCUUGAUCAAUCUCCUACUUUGAAAGAAAAUAAAAGGUAUUUUUUUUUGUCAAUCACUGCAUGAUGUACAUCCAAACGAGAAGAAGGGAAAUGAAGAGUCCCUUCUCUUCCUUAUGGUCCAACUCCUUUCUUUUCUUUUCCCUUCAUUUCCCUCUCAACUUAAAUUGCCAAACAAAGUGGAAAAGAAAAGAACCCAAUCAUUUAGAAGAUCUGAAUUCCGGGGCCUCUUCCUCAUCGACCCCCCUGCAUGGAGGACAUUACAAAGGCGGAGACAAACAGCAGAAAGGGAAUGACUUCGAAGUGCUCUUGAGCACUCCUCAGUAUAAUCCUCUCGAGGUGGAAAAAGAAAAACCCACUCAUUUAGAAGAUUCAAUUCACGGGGCGUCUUCCUCAUCAGCCUCUCCACAUAGUGGU